rnacentral:rRNA from 1 species
UACGAAGGGGGCUAGCGUUGCUCGGAAUUACUGGGCGUAAAGCGCACGUAGGCGGCUUUCUAAGUCGGGGGUGAAAUCCUGGAGCUCAACUCCAGAACUGCUUUCGAUACUGGAAAGCUCGAGUCCGGGAGAGGUGAGUGGAACUGCGAGUGUAGAGGUGAAAUUCGUAGAUAUUCGCAAGAACACCAGUGGCGAAGGCGGGUCUCUGGGCCGAAAUUGACGCUGAGGAGCGAAAGCGUGGGGAGCAAACAGG